CUUCCGUUAGGUGAACCUGCGGAAGGAUCAUUAUUGAAAUAAACCUGAUGAGUUGCUGCUGGCUCUCUAGGGAGCAUGUGCACACUUGUCAUCUUUAUAUCUCCACCUGUGCACCUUUUGUAGACCUGGAUAUCUCUCUGAAGGCUAGCCUUCAGGUUUGAGGAUUGACCUUCUGGUCUUUCCUUAUAUUUCCAGGCCUAUGUUUCUUCAUAUACUCCAUGUAUGUUAUAGAAUGUAAUAAAUGGGCCUUUGUGCCUAUAAACCUAUACAACUUUCAGCAACGGAUCUCUUGGCUCUCGCAUCGAUGAAGAACGCAGCGAAAUGCGAUAAGUAAUGUGAAUUGCAGAAUUCAGUGAAUCAUCGAAUCUUUGAACGCACCUUGCGCUCCUUGGUAUUCCGAGGAGCAUGCCUGUUUGAGUGUCAUUAAUAUAUCAAUCUCUUCAGCUUUUGCUUGUUGAGUAUUGGACGUGGGGGGAUUUUUGUGCUGGCCUCUCUUCUGAGGUCAGCUCCUCUGAAAUGCAUUAGCAGAACAGUUUGUUGACCGUUCAUUGGUGUGAUAACUAUCUACACUUUGACGUGAAGCAAGUUCAGCUUCUAACAGUCCAUUGACUUGGACAAAUUUUCAUUAAUGUGACCUCAAAUCAGGUAGGACUACCCGCUGAACUUAA
rnacentral:rRNA from 1 species